rnacentral:rRNA from 1 species
AUUGAACGCUGGCGGCAUGCCUUACACAUGCAAGUCGAACGGCAGCACGGGGGCAACCCUGGUGGCGAGUGGCGAACGGGUGAGUAAUGCAUCGGAACGUGCCCAGUAGUGGGGGAUAACCCGGCGAAAGCCGGGCUAAUACCGCAUACGACCCAAGGGUGAAAGCGGGGGACCGUAAGGCCUCGCGCUAUUGGAGCGGCCGAUGUCUGAUUAGCUAGUUGGCGGGGUAAUGGCCCACCAAGGCGACGAUCAGUAGCUGGUCUGAGAGGACGACCAGCCACACUGGGACUGAGACACGGCCCAGACUCCUACGGGAGGCAGCAGUGGGGAAUUUUGGACAAUGGGCGAAAGCCUGAUCCAGCCAUGCCGCGUGCGGGAAGAAGGCCUUCGGGUUGUAAACCGCUUUUGGCAGGAACGAAACGGCGCGGGCCAAUACCUCGCGCUAAUGACGGUACCUGCAGAAUAAGCACCGGCUAACUACGUGCCAGCAGCCGCGGUAA